GCAUGACUCUUGGCAAUGGAUAUCUAGGCUCUUGCGUCGAUGAAGAACGUAGCAAAAUGCGAUACUUGGUGUGAAUUGCAGAAUCCCGUGAACCAUCGAGUCUUUGAACGCAAGUUGCGCCCGAGACCAUCAGGUCAAGGGCACGUCUGCUUGGGCGUCACGCCU
rnacentral:rRNA from 1 species